AGAUGGAUUGGUGCCUUCCGGAACUCUGAGACAGGUGCUGCAUGGCUGUCGUCAGCUCGUGUUGUGAAAUGUUGGGUUAAGUCCCGCAACGAGCGCAACCCUUAUCCUUUGUUGCCAGCGGUUCGGCCGGGAACUCAAAGGAGACUGCCAGUGAUAAACUGGAGGAAGGUGGGGAUGACGUCAAGUCAUCAUGGCCCUUACGAGUAGGGCUACACACGUGCUACAAUGGCGCAUACAAAGAGAAGCGACCUCGCGAGAGCAAGCGGACCUCAUAAAGUGCGUCGUAGUCCGGAUUGGAGUCUGCAACUCGACUCCAUGAAGUCGGAAUCGCUAGUAAUCGUAGAUCAGAAUGCUACGGUGAAUACGUUCCCGGGUCUUGUACACACCGAA
rnacentral:rRNA from 1 species